UCCGUAGGUGGCAAGCGUUGUCCGGAAUCAUUGGGCGUAAAGAGCGUGUAGGCGGUUCGGUAAGUCGGCUGUGAAAGUCCAGGGCUCAACCCUGGGAUGCCGGUCGAUACUGCCGGACUAGAGUUCGGAAGAGGCGAGUGGAAUUCCCGGUGUAGCGGUGAAAUGCGCAGAUAUCGGGAGGAACACCUAUGGCGAAGGCAGCUCGCUGGGACGUUACUGACGCUGAGACGCGAAAGCGUGGGGAGCAAACAGG
rnacentral:rRNA from 1 species